GAUGAACGCUGGCGGCGUGCCUAAUACAUGCAAGUCGAGCGAACAGACGAGGAGCUUGCUCCUUCGACGUUAGCGGCGGACGGGUGAGUAACACGUAGGUAACCUACCUAUAAGACUGGGAUAACUUCGGGAAACCGGAGCUAAUACCGGAUAAUAUUUCGAACCGCAUGGUUCGAUAGUGAAAGAUGGCUUUGCUAUCACUUAUAGAUGGACCUGCGCCGUAUUAGCUAGUUGGUAAGGUAACGGCUUACCAAGGCAACGAUACGUAGCCGACCUGAGAGGGGGAUCGGCCACACUGGAACUGAGACACGGUCCAGACUCCUACGGGAGGCAGCAGUAGGGAAUCUUCCGCAAUGGGCGAAAGCCUGACGGAGCAACGCCGCGUGAGUGAUGAAGGUCUUCGGAUCGUAAAACUCUGUUAUUAGGGAAGAACAAACGUGUAAGUAACUGUGCACGUCUUGACGGUACCUAAUCAGAAGGCCACGGCUAACUACGUG
rnacentral:rRNA from 1 species